rnacentral:rRNA from 1 species
AUUGAACGCUGGCGGCAGGCCUAACCCCUCCUAGUCGAGCGAGCGGCGGACGGGUGAGUAAUGUAUGGGGUCUGCCCGAUAUAUGGGGAUAACUACUGGAAACGUUGGCUAAUACCGCCUCCUGUCGGAUAACCCAUAGGGGAUUAGCUAGUGGGUAAGGUAAUUGCUUACCUAGGCGCCGAUCCCUAGCUGGUCUGAGAGGAUGAUCAGCCACAAUGGGACUGAGACACGGCCCAGACUCCUACGGAGGCAGCAGUGGGGAAGAUUGCACAAUGGGCGCAAGCCUGAUGCAGCCAUGCCGCGUGUAUGAAGAAGGCCCUAGGGUUGUAAAGUACUUUCAGUCGGGAGGCGUUACCGACAGAAGAAGCACCGGCGAACUACGUGCCAGCAGCCGCGGUAAUAC